rnacentral:rRNA from 1 species
UACGGGGGGGGCAAGCGUUGUUCGGAAUUACUGGGCGUAAAGGCUCGUAGGCGGCCAACUAAGUCGGACGUGAAAUCCCUCGGCUUAACCGGGGAACUGCGUCCGAUACUGGAUGGCUUGAGUUCGGGAGAGGGAUGGCGGAAUUCCAGGUGUAGCGGUGAAAUGCGUAGAUAUCUGGAGGAACACCGGUGGCGAAGGCGGCAUCCUGGACCGACACUGACGCGAGGAGCGGAAAGCC